rnacentral:rRNA from 1 species
CGGCCGGGGCCCCUAAGUAUAAGCAAUUAUACAGCGAAACUGCGAAUGGCUCAUUAUAUAAGUUAUCGUUUAUUUGAUAGUACCUUACUACUUGGAUAACCGUGGUAAUUCUAGAGCUAAUACAUGCUAAAAAUCCCGACUUCGGAAGGGAUGUAUUUAUUAGAUUAAAAACCAAUGCCCUCCGGGGCUCACUGGUGAUUCAUGAUAACUCCUCGAAUCGCAUGGCCUUGCGCCGGCGAUGGUUCAUUCAAAUUUCUUCCCUAUCAACUUUCGAUGUUUGGGUAUUGGCCAAACAUGGUUGCAACGGGUAACGGAGGGUUAGGGCUCGACCCCGGAGAAGGAGCCUGAGAAACGGCUACUACAUCCAAGGAAGGCAGCAGGCGCGCAAAUUACCCAAUCCCGACUCGGGGAGGUAGUGACAAUAAAUACUGAUACAGGGCUCUUUUGGGUCUUGUAAUUGGAAUGAGUACAAUUUAAAUCCCUUAACGAGGAACAAUUGGAGGGCAAGUCUGGUGCCAGCAGCCGCGGUAAUUCCAGCUCCAAUAGCGUAUAUUAAAGUUGUUGUGGUUAAAAAGCUCGUAGUUGAACCUUGGGCCUGGCUGGCCGGUCCGCCUCACCGCGUGUACUGGUCCGGCCGGGCCUUUCCCUCUGUGGAACCCCAUGCCCUUCACUGGGUGUGGCGGGGAAACAGGACUUUUACUGUGAAAAAAUUAGAGUGCUCCAGGCAGGCCUAUGCUCGAAUACAUUAGCAUGGAAUAAUAGAAUAGGACGUGUGGUUCUAUUUUGUGGGUUUCUAGACCGCCGUAUGAUAUAGGGACAGUCGGGGGCAUCAGUAUUUCAAUUGUCAGAGUGAAUCCUGGAAUUUAUUGGAGACUACUACUGCAAGCAUUGGCAACGGAAUGUUUCAUUAAUCCAAG